rnacentral:rRNA from 1 species
CCUACGGGAGGCAGCAGUGGGGAAUAUUGCACAAUGGGGGAAACCCUGAUGCAGCGACGCCGCGUGAAGGAAGAAGUAUUUCGGUAUGUAAACUUCUAUCAGCAGGGAAGAAAAUGACGGUACCUGACUAAGAAUCCCCGGCUAACUACGUGCCAGCAGCCGCGGUAAUACGUAGGGGGCAAGCGUUAUCCGGAUUUACUGGGUGUAAAGGGAGCGUAGGCGGUUCAGCAAGUCAGAAGUGAAAGCACGGGGCUCAACUCCGGGACUGCUUUUGAAACUGGUGAACUAGAGUGCAGGAGAGGGAAGUGGAAUUCCUAGUGUAGCGGUGAAAUGCGUAGAUAUUAGGAGGAACACCAGUGGCGAAGGCGGCUUACUGGACUGGAAAUGACGCUGAGGCUCGAAAGCGUGGGGAGCAAACAGGAUUAGAUACCCUGGUAGUC